GAUGAACGCUGGCGGCGUGCCUAAUACAUGCAAGUCGAGCGAACAGAUGAGGAGCUUGCUCCUCUGACGUUAGCGGCGGACGGGUGAGUAACACGUGGAUAACCUACCUAUAAGACUGGGAUAACUUCGGGAAACCGGAGCUAAUACCGGAUAAUAUAUUGAACCGCAUGGUUCAAUAGUGAAAGACGGUUUUGCUGUCACUUAUAGAUGGAUCCGCGCCGCAUUAGCUAGUUGGUAAGGUAACGGCUUACCAAGGCAACGAUGCGUAGCCGACCUGAGAGGGGGAUCGGCCACACUGGAACUGAGACACGGUCCAGACUCCUACGGGAGGCAGCAGUAGGGAAUCUUCCGCAAGGGGCGAAAGCCUGACGGAGCAACGCGGCGUGAGUGAUGAAGGUCUUCGGAUCGUAAAACUCUGUUAUUAGGGAAGAACAAAUGUGUAAGUAACUAUGCACGUCUUGACGGUACCUAAGCAGAAAGCCACGGCUAACUACGU
rnacentral:rRNA from 1 species